GACGAACGCUGGCGGCGUGCUUAACACAUGCAAGUCGAACGGUGAAGCGCCUUCCUUUUUGGUGGGUGUGGAUGAGUGGCGAACGGGUGAGUAACACGUGAGUAACCUGCCCCCUUCUUCUGGAUAACCGCAUGAAAGUGUGGCUAAUACGGGAUAUUCUGGGUCUGUCGCAUGAUGGGUCUGGGAAAGAUAUUGUUUCGGUGGGGGAUGGGCUCGCGGCCUAUCAGCUUGUUGGUGGGGUGAUGGCCUACCAAGGCGGUGGCGGGUAGCCGGCCUGAGAGGGUGGACGGUCACACUGGGACUGAGACACGGCCCAGACUCCUACGGGAGGCAGCAGUGGGGAAUAUUGCACAGUGGGCGCAAGCCUGAUGCAGCGGCGCCGCGGGAGGGAUGGAGGCCUUCGGGUUGUGAACCUCUUUCGCCAGUGAAGCAGGCCUGCCUCGUUUGUGGGUGGGUUGACGGUAGCUGGAUAAGAAGCGCCGGCUAACUACGUG
rnacentral:rRNA from 1 species